CCCCUGGGCGGGGCAGCAGCCAGUCUGGGAGGCUCUCCUCCUUGGCUCCCUCCUCCUUAGCAGCAUCACCUGUCAGGACCCUGUCAUACUCACACUUAUUGCAGUGCGUCAAGUGCUUGCAUGUAAUGUGCACAUAUCACAUUCCAGGCCAGCUUUCUUGGGGACUGGUUUACCCCAGUGAAACUCAGGAGUUUCUCGUGACACUUCAGCAUGACACUGACAAGCCACCACCUGGGUAGGGUUACUUCUAAGAUGACUCACCUCACAGUCAGAGAGUCACAUUAUUUCUAAGCUUAUUCCCAAAUUCUGAGAUCAUCUCACCACUUAGAACCAACAGCUGCUCUAUGCAUCAGAGAAACAUGACCCCAAAUUUCCUUAAGGAUGCUGUUUACCCUUUUGGGAAUGAAAAUGGCUGUCUUAAAGUUGCCAGGUUUUAUGAUGGCAAACUUUUACUCCAAAGUCGUGCAGGAACUUCCAAUUGUGGAAUGAAGAUGUAGGCAAAUCCUCUCUUCCAAAAACAAGUAUAAAACUGUCAAAAACAGUGGUUUAAGUUCUAUGGAAAUCCAUGAAAGGUAACCAACAAGUUGAGAAUCAUUUCUUCAUGAGAAACUGCCAACUCUUCAGUCCAGAUGCAGUAUUUACACUGUUCAAGAAUGUCUCACAGGGUGACCAGCUGGCCCCAUGAUACUCUGGACUGUGAUUUCUCUGCUCACCUUUCUCCUCUACUCCCCCUUCCCUUUUGGGUUGAGGUUCACUGGAGAUCAGAGAACUUGCUGAGACUCCGGGAAAGGCAGGGACAUCCCACAGAAGAAGAAAAGGCCCAUGGAAGGCAGAGCCUCCUCUGUCUUCACAGGGAAAAAGCUGGGAGACGUGCCCAAGCAAGGCUGUUCAGGAGAAGGUUCAGAAGAUCCCUGGAGACAGAAGCACGUCCCAUCCCAGCCACUGGCCAGAAACCCUGCUGCAAGGGUGUGUGUACAGAGACGUCUCCUAGGAUGAGAUAAAGUGAAAAGAACCCCAAGAACAGGAUUUUAGAGCUGGAGGACCUGCUCUGCCCACAACUUAUAAACUAUCUGUUACCCUCUCUGGAACUCAGUUUCUUCCUCAUUAAAACUAGAGCAAUUACACCUACUGUUCAAGGUUGCUGUGAAGAUUAAAGUCCUUAGAAUAGUGCCUGGCAUGUAGUAAGCACUAUGUGUUUGCUGUAGUAGUGUGUGGUGAAAGGCAAGAGCUAGAAUCCUGACUCUCAUUUAUUAGCUAUAUAAUCAUGUGCAAAUUACUUAAAACCUCUGACCUUUGGUUUCCUCCUUCAUAAAACAGAGGUAACCACAGGAUUUACUGAAGAGAUUAAAUAAAAUUAAAUGGGUAAUGUAUGGAAAGCACUAAGCACAGUGUUUGGGACUGAGUAAAUGUCCCAUAAACACUAGUUCUUAUUAUUUCUGUUGUAUUAUUGGUGUAUUUCCCUCAUCAUGUCUAGUCUUGCUCUUCUCGUAUCCCUCAAAUACAGCUCCUUCCAACUCACUCUCCAGUAACAGCAAAAGAGACCUUCUUUAAAAGUAAGUAGACUCAAAAUCUGUAGUGAUGUCAGUGGUUACCUGGAACCAGGGCAGAAAGAAAGGAGGAUUAACCGCAAAGGGGCACCAGGACUUUCUGUGAUGAGACAAAUGUUCUAUAUCUUCACUGGUAGUGGAUUUCACGGGUAUAUUCAAAUGUCAAAACUUUCAAACAUUACAGUUAAAGAGAUACAUUUUGUCUAACAAAAACUUUGCCUCGAUAACAUUUGUUUUAAAAAAGGCACAAAAACUCCCUGGCCAUCUAUUGCAGUGCUACAUUUUCUCUUCUCCAUGGCAUUUAUCUACAUAUAAAGUUAUUUCAUUCAUUUCUUUAUAUGUCUAUUGUCCAACUCCUCCCCACCAUCAGAACAGAUACUGCUUAAGGAUUCUGUCUUCUUCACCACUAUAACUCCAGCAUCUAGAACAUAGCACAUAGAACUAGCCUGGCACAUAGUUGGUAAACAAAACACUGACAGAUUGACUGAUUAUAAUCUCUCAAUGCUUCUACCUCCAAAUUAUGUACUGAUUUCAUUCAUUCUUAUCAUCCCUAUUACCACCAGUUUAACCAGACAUCAUUUCUUGCCUGGGUUAUGCCAUGAUUUCCUUGCAGGUCUCCUUGCUUCCACCAUUGCUCCUUCAUUUCAGUCUCCACAGAGCCCCUACAGUGAUUUUUUUCAAAAUAUAAAUCAGAUCACAUUACUGACCUGCUUUCAAAAAUUUUUUUAAAGGUGGGGAUAAUUUGAUUAUGUGCCUGAAAAAGUGAAUAAGAAAUUGAAAGGCAAUUUAAAACUCCAGGAAAAUAUAAAAGCUAUGAAAGAAAUGUUAUGAUCCUAAUAUGAUAUAAACUAAAAUGUAAUAUUAACAGCAGAUAUGAAUCCCAGUCCACAAAUUCAAAAAAUACCUCAACUAUUAAUGAUGGGGCAGCGAGUGGCUCUCAGAACAAAAAAAUCAAGUCUUAUAUCUGCAUAAGUUACCCUUUAAAUGCCUGCUGUCGCAGUCUACAUGCCCUUUAUGUCUGGCAAAUCUCUACUGCCUUCCUGCCAUGGUAAGACAGAUGAAUCUUCUGUGAGGUCACCCAAGGUCUCAUCUGCCUAAACACACAAUGCAGACAUGACUCUCUUGAGUUUUACUACCUCCCCAAAAUACUUCCAGAAAAUGAAUCCUAGUCCCUCUUCUCUGGAAGCUCCAAACACCACUUUCUUCUCUAUCAGAUAGAAUGAAUCUCCUUGCCUUAGGGGAAAAGCCCUGCUUCUCUGAGACAUUGUGUACACCCACAGGUCACAUUCUCUUUUGCUUCUUUCCCCAAACCUAUAAUUUCUCUAAAGAUAUUAAGGGGAAACUAAAGCAGAAAUUGCAGAAAAUGUAUUUUCUUAUGCUGUCAAAUAUUUCACCCUAGGUAAAGUAGUACCAAAUUGGCUUCCUACUUGGGUGAGGAAAGGGAAAUAGGAAAACAAGGAGCAGUGAAAAUGUGUUCAUUAAUAUAUCAAAAAUAUCACUUAGCCAUGAUCUCUGCCUGUAGUGAAUUUUUGUGUCUUCAACAAAGAAAAUUUAUUUUCGACUCCCUCAAUAACAGUGUCAGUUUUGAAUUUUCCAGGUCAGUAGGUACUGUGACUGACUUCCUAACAUUCCCAUUCUAUUCCACAAUUAAUGUAAACAAUUCGUGGCAAUUUACCCCCUUGCCAGUGAUUGAUUCAGGGAUGGUCAAACUUAAAUCAAUUUGGGUCAUUGAGAUUCAAGGACAGUCUUGGUGAGAGCUCUGGGAAGGAACUUCCUCAAUCUUUAAUGCCAUGGAAAGACAGGCUCUUUCUUUUCCUAUAAGUUGUGACUGAGGAAGCACAGAGUUCCCCUUGCCACUGGCAGUCAUACCACAACAAUAUGCAAAGAUAAUUGGAUUUAAGAUAAGCCAAAACUGUGGAUGGCAGAGCAAAGAAAUAGAAAGGACCUGCAUAUUUGAUGACAUCAUUCAACUACUGAGUCGUGCCCUAACUCUUUUUUUAUUGUUUAAGCCAAUGUGAGUUGGAUUUUCUGUUACUUACUGCUCAGUGGAUCUUACCUGAUACAGAAUUUGGUGCCAGGAAUAGAAGUGCUGCAAAUAAUAGACUUGGUGAUUUAUAUGGUAGCCCCCCAAAAGAUAUGGCCACAUCUGAAUCCCUAGAAUCUUAAGUGUUACUUAUUUGGAAAAAGGGUCUUUGCAGGC